UGGGGAAUAUUUGACAAUGGGCGAAAGCCUGAUCCAGCCAUGCCGCGUGUGUGAAGAAGGUCUUCGGAUUGUAAAGCACUUUAAGUUGGGAGGAAGGGCAGUAAGCGAAUACCUUGCUGUUUUGACGUUACCGACAGAAUAAGCACCGGCUAACUCUGUGCCAGCAGCCGCGGUAAUACAGAGGGUGCAAGCGUUAAUCGGAAUUACUGGGCGUAAAGCGCGCGUAGGUGGUUCGUUAAGUUGAAUGUGAAAGCCCCGGGCUCAACCUGGGAACUGCAUACAAAACUGGCGAGCUAGAGUAGGGCAGAGGGUGGUGGAAUUUCCUGUGUAGCGGUGAAAUGCGUAGAUAUAGGAAGGAGAACCAGUGGCGAAGGCGACCACCUGGGCUCAUACUGACACUGCAGUGCGAAAACGUGGGGAGCAAACAGG
rnacentral:rRNA from 1 species